GUAGGGUGCAAGCGUUAAUCGGAAUUACUGGGGCGUAAAGCGUGCGCAGGCGGUUGUGCAAGACAGAUGUGAAAUCCCCCGGGGCUCAACCUGGGGAAUUGCAUUUGUGACUGCACGGCUAGAGUGUGUCAGAGGGGGGUAGAAUUCCACGUGUAGCAGUGAAAUGCGUAGAGAUGUGGAGGAAUACCGAUGGCGAAGGCAGCCCCCCUGGGAUAACACUGACGCUCAUGCACGAAAGCGUGGGGAGCAAACAGGAUUAGAUACCCUGGUAGUCCACGCCCUAAACGAUGUCAACUAGUUGUCGGGUCUUAAUUGACUUGGUAACGCAGCUAACGCGUGAAGUUGACCGCCUGGGGAGUACGGUCGCAAAGAUUAA
rnacentral:rRNA from 1 species